rnacentral:rRNA from 1 species
UACGGAGGGUGCAAGCAUUAAUCGGAUUUAUUGGGCGUAAAGGGCGCGUAGGCGGGAAUAAAAGUCAGAUGUGAAAUCCUGGGGCUCAACCUCAGAACUGCAUUUGAAACUUUAUUUCUUGAGGGUAGGCGGAGAAAACGGAAUUCCACAAGUAGCGGUGAAAUGCGUAGAUAUGUGGAAGAACACCGGUGGCGAAGGCGGUUUUCUAGCUUAUUCCUGACGCUGAUGCGCGAAAGCAAGGGGAUCAAACAGG